rnacentral:misc_RNA from 1 species
UUUCCGUAGGUGAACCUGCGGAAGGAUCAUUACAGGGUUCAUGCCCUCACGGGUAGAUCUCCCACCCUUGAAUAUUUAUACCUUAGUUGCUUUGGCAGGCCGUGGAAACACCAUGGGCUCCGGCUUAUGCGUGCCUGUCAGAGGAAACAAACUCUGUUUUUAGUGAUGUCUGAGUACUAUAUAAUAGUUAAAACUUUCAACAACGGAUCUCUUGGUUCUG